AUCAUGGAGAGUUUGAUCCUGGCUCAGAACGAACGCUGGCGGCGCGUCUUAAGCAUGCAAGUCGGGCGGCAAGCUGCCUUCGGGCAGCCCAGAGCGGCGGACUGGUGAGUAACGCGUGGGUGACGCACCCCCCGGACGGGGACAGCCUGCAGAAAUGCAGGGUAAUACCGGAUGAGGUUCCCGGCGCCGGAGGCCGGGGAGGAAAGGGGCUACGGCCCCGCCGGGGGAGCGGCCCGCGUCCCAUCAGCUGGAUGGCGGUGUAACGGACCACCAUGGCGAUGACGGGUACCCGGACUGAGAGGUUGGACGGGCACAUUGGGACUGAGAUACGGCCCAGACUCCUA
rnacentral:rRNA from 1 species